ACUUAAAUUGAAGAGUUUGAUCAUGGCUCAGAUUGAACGCUGGCGGCAGGCCUAACACAUGCAAGUCGAGCGGUAGCACAGAGAGCUUGCUCUCGGGUGACGAGCGGCGGACGGGUGAGUAAUGUCUGGGAAACUGCCUGAUGGAGGGGGAUAACUACUGGAAACGGUAGCUAAUACCGCAUAAUGUCGCAAGACCAAAGUGGGGGACCUUCGGGCCUCAUGCCAUCAGAUGUGCCCAGAUGGGAUUAGCUAGUAGGUGGGGUAACGGCUCACCUAGGCGACGAUCCCUAGCUGGUCUGAGAGGAUGACCAGCCACACUGGAACUGAGACACGGUCCAGACUCCUACGGGAGGCAGCAGUGGGGAAUAUUGCACAAUGGGCGCAAGCCUGAUGCAGCCAUGCCGCGUGUGUGAAGAAGGCCUUCGGGUUGUAAAGCACUUUCAGCGGGGAGGAAGGCGGUGAGGUUAAUAACCUCACCGAUUGACGUUACCCGCAGAAGAAGCACCGGCUAACUCCGUGCCAGCAGCCGCGGUAAUACGGAGGGUGCAAGCGUUAAUCGGAAUUACUGGGCGUAAAGCGCACGCAGGCGGUCUGUCAAGUCGGAUGUGAAAUCCCCGGGCUCAACCUGGGAACUGCAUUCGAAACUGGCAGGCUAGAGUCUUGUAGAGGGGGGUAGAAUUCCAGGUGUAGCGGUGAAAUGCGUAGAGAUCUGGAGGAAUACCGGUGGCGAAGGCGGCCCCCUGGACAAAGACUGACGCUCAGGUGCGAAAGCGUGGGGAGCAAACAGGAUUAGAUACCCUGGUAGUCCACGCCGUAAACGAUGUCGAUUUGGAGGUUGUGCCCUUGAGGCGUGGCUUCCGGAGCUAACGCGUUAAAUCGACCGCCUGGGGAGUACGGCCGCAAGGUUAAAACUCAAAUGAAUUGACGGGGGCCCGCACAAGCGGUGGAGCAUGUGGUUUAAUUCGAUGCAACGCGAAGAACCUUACCUGGUCUUGACAUCCACAGAACUUUCCAGAGAUGGAUUGGUGCCUUCGGGAACUGUGAGACAGGUGCUGCAUGGCUGUCGUCAGCUCGUGUUGUGAAAUGUUGGGUUAAGUCCCGCAACGAGCGCAACCCUUAUCCUUUGUUGCCAGCGGUUAGGCCGGGAACUCAAAGGAGACUGCCAGUGAUAAACUGGAGGAAGGUGGGGAUGACGUCAAGUCAUCAUGGCCCUUACGACCAGGGCUACACACGUGCUACAAUGGCAUAUACAAAGAGAAGCGACCUCGCGAGAGCAAGCGGACCUCAUAAAGUAUGUCGUAGUCCGGAUUGGAGUCUGCAACUCGACUCCAUGAAGUCGGAAUCGCUAGUAAUCGUAGAUCAGAAUGCUACGGUGAAUACGUUCCCGGGCCUUGUACACACCGCCCGUCACACCAUGGGAGUGGGUUGCAAAAGAAGUAGGUAGCUUAACCUUCGGGAGGGCGCUUACCACUUUGUGAUUCAUGACUGGGGUGAAGUCGUAACAAGGUAACCGUAGGGGAACCUGCGGUUGGAUCACCUCCUUACCUUAAAGAA
rnacentral:rRNA from 1 species